rnacentral:rRNA from 1 species
CUGAAUACAUAGGGUAAGGAAGACAGACCCAGGGAACUGAAACAUCUAAGUACCUGGAGGAAGAGAAAGCAAAUGCGAUUUCCUGAGUAGCGGCGAGCGAAACGGAACAUAGCCCAAACCAAGAGGCUUGCCUCUUGGGGUUGUAGGACAUUCUAUACGGAGUUACAAAGGAACGAGGUAGACGAAGCGACCUGGAAAGGUCCGUCGUAGAGGGUAACAACCCCGUAGUCGAAACUUCGUUCUCUCUUGAAUGUAUCCUGAGUACGGCGGAACACGUGAAAUUCCGUCGGAAUCUGGGAGGACCAUCUCCCAAGGCUAAAUACUCCCUAGUGAUCGAUAGUGAACCAGUACCGUGAGGGAAAGGUGAAAAGCACCCCGGAAGGGGAGUGAAAGAGAUCCUGAAACCGUGUGCCUACAAAUAGUCAGAGCCCGUUAACGGGUGAUGGCGUGCCUUUUGUAGAAUGAACCGGCGAGUUACGAUCCCGUGCGAGGUUAAGCUGAAGAGGCGGAGCCGCAGCGAAAGCGAGUCUGAAUAGGGCGUUUAGUACGUGGUCGUAGACCCGAAACCAGGUGAUCUACCCAUGUCCAGGGUGAAGUUCAGGUAACACUGAAUGGAGGCCCGAACCCACGCACGUUGAAAAGUGCGGGGAUGAGGUGUGGGUAGCGGAGAAAUUCCAAUCGAACCUGGAGAUAGCUGGUUCUCCCCGAAAUAGCUUUAGGGCUAGCCUUAAGUGUAAGAGUCUUGGAGGUAGAGCACUGAUUGGACUAGGGGUCCUCAUCGGAUUACCGAAUUCAGUCAAACUCCGAAUGCCAAUGACUUAUCCUUAGGAGUCAGACUGCGAGUGAUAAGAUCCGUAGUCAAAAGGGAAACAGCCCAGACCGCCAGCUAAGGUCCCAAAGUGUGUAUUAAGUGGAAAAGGAUGUGGAGUUGCUUAGACAACUAGGAUGUUGGCUUAGAAGCAGCCACCAUUUAAAGAGUGCGUAAUAGCUCACUAGUCGAGUGACUCUGCGCCGAAAAUGUACCGGGGCUAAAUACACCACCGAAGCUGCGGAUUGAUACCAAUGGUAUCAGUGGUAGGGGAGCGUUCUAAGGACAGUGAAGUCAGACCGGAAGGACUGGUGGAGUGCUUAGAAGUGAGAAUGCCGGUAUGAGUAGCGAAAGACGGGUGAGAAUCCCGUCCACCGAAUGCCUAAGGUUUCCUGAGGAAGGCUCGUCCGCUCAGGGUUAGUCAGGACCUAAGCCGAGGCCGACAGGCGUAGGCGAUGGACAACAGGUUGAUAUUCCUGUACCACCUCUUUAUCGUUUGAGCAAUGGAGGGACGCAGAAGGAUAGAAGAAGCGUGCGAUUGGUUGUGCACGUCCAAGCAGUUAGGCUGAUAAGUAGGCAAAUCCGCUUAUCGUGGANGCUNNNNNNNNNNNNNNNNNNNNNNNNNNNNNNNNNNNNNNNNNNNNNNNNNNNNNNNNNNNNNNNNNNNNNNNNNNNNNNNNNNCGCUUAUCGUAAAGGCUGAGCUGUGAUGGGGAAGCUCCUUAUGGAGCGAAGUCUUUGAUUCCCCGCUGCCAAGAAAAGCUUCUAGCGAGAUAAAAGGUGCCUGUACCGCAAACCGACACAGGUAGGCGAGGAGAGAAUCCUAAGGUGUGCGAGAGAACUCUGGUUAAGGAACUCGGCAAAAUGACCCCGUAACUUCGGGAGAAGGGGUGCUUUCUUAACGGAAAGCCGCAGUGAAUAGGCCCAAGCGACUGUUUAGCAAAAACACAGCUCUCUGCGAAGCCGUAAGGCGAAGUAUAGGGGGUGACACCUGCCCGGUGCUGGAAGGUUAAGGAGAGGGGUUAGCGUAAGCGAAGCUCUGAACUGAAGCCCCAGUAAACGGCGGCCGUAACUAUAACGGUCCUAAGGUAGCGAAAUUCCUUGUCGGGUAAGUUCCGACCCGCACGAAAGGUGUAACGAUUUGGGCACUGUCUCAACCAGAGACUCGGUGAAAUUAUAGUACCUGUGAAGAUGCAGGUUACCCGCGACAGGACGGAAAGACCCCGUGGAGCUUUACUGUAGCCUGAUAUUGAAUUUUGGUACAGUUUGUACAGGAUAGGCGGGAGCCUUUGAAACCGGAGCGCUAGCUUCGGUGGAGGCGCUGGUGGGAUACCGCCCUGACUGUAUUGAAAUUCUAACCUACGGGUCUUAUCGACCCGGGAGACAGUGUCAGGUGGGCAGUUUGACUGGGGCGGUCGCCUCCUAAAGUGUAACGGAGGCGCCCAAAGGUUCCCUCAGAAUGGUUGGAAAUCAUUCGUAGAGUGCAAAGGCAUAAGGGAGCUUGACUGCGAGACCUACAAGUCGAGCAGGGACGAAAGUCGGGCUUAGUGAUCCGGUGGUUCCGCAUGGAAGGGCCAUCGCUCAACGGAUAAAAGCUACCCCGGGGAUAACAGGCUUAUCUCCCCCAAGAGUCCACAUCGACGGGGAGGUUUGGCACCUCGAUGUCGGCUCAUCGCAUCCUGGGGCUGUAGUCGGUCCCAAGGGUUGGGCUGUUCGCCCAUUAAAGCGGUACGCGAGCUGGGUUCAGAACGUCGUGAGACAGUUCGGUCCCUAUCCGUCGUGGGCGUAGGAAAUUUGAGAGGAGCUGUCCUUAGUACGAGAGGACCGGGAUGGACGCACCGCUGGUGUACCAGUUGUUCUGCCAAGGGCAUAGCUGGGUAGCUAUGUGCGGAAGGGAUAAGUGCUGAAAGCAUCUAAGCAUGAAGCCCCCCUCAAGAUGAGAUUUCCCAUAGCGUAAGCUAGUAAGAUCCCUGAAAGAUGAUCAGGUUGAUAGGUUCGAGGUGGAAGCAUGGUGACAUGUGGAGCUGACGAAUACUAAUAGAUCGAGGACUUAACCAU